rnacentral:rRNA from 1 species
UACGUAGGGGUCGAGCGUUGUCCGGAGUUACUGGGCGUAAAGCGUGCGCAGGCGGCUCAUUGCGCCCGGCGUGAAAGCCCCCGGCUCAACCGGGGAGGGUCGUCGGGGACGGGUGAGCUUGAGGGUAUCAGGGGUUGGUGGAAUUCCCGGUGUAGUGGUGAAAUGCGUAGAGAUCGGGAGGAACACCCGUGGCGAAGGCGGCCAACUGGGAUACACCUGACGCUGAGGCACGAAGGCGUGGGGAGCGAACAGG